UGGGGAAUAUUGCACAAUGGGGGAAACCCUGAUGCAGCCAUGCCGCGUGUGUGAAGAAGGCUCUAGGGUUGUAAAGCACUUUCAAUGAGGAGGAACGGUUAGUAGUUAAUACCUGCUAGCUUUGACGUUACUCAUAGAAGAAGCACCGGCUAACUCCGUGCCAGCAGCCGCGGUAAUACGGAGGGUGCAAGCGUUAAUCGGAAUUACUGGGCGUAAAGCGCGCGUAGGCGGAUGCUUAAGUCGGAUGUGAAAGCCCAGGGCUCAACCUUGGAACUGCAUUCGAUACUGGGCAUCUAGAGUACAGUAGAGGGUGGUAGAAUUUCUUGUGUAGCAGUGAAAUGCGUAGAUAUGAGAAGGAAUACCAGUGGCGAAGGCGGCCACCUGGACUGAUACUGACGCUGAGGUGCGAAAGCGUGGGGAGCAAACGGG
rnacentral:rRNA from 1 species